AGUAAGAUCAGCUAAAUCAAGCUCUCGGGCCCAUACCCCGAACAUGCAGGUUAAAAUCCUGCUUUUACUA
rnacentral:tRNA from 1 species